rnacentral:rRNA from 1 species
UACAGAGGUCUCAAGCGUUGUUCGGAUUCAUUGGGCGUAAAGGGUGCGUAGGCGGCGCGGUAAGUCAGGUGUGAAAUCUCGGGGCUCAACCCCGAAACUGCACUUGAUACUGCGGUGCUCGAGUACUGGAGAGGAGAUUGGAAUUUACGGUGUAGCGGUGAAAUGCGUAGAUAUCGUAAGGAAGACCAGUGGCGAAGGCGGGUCUCUGGACAGUUCCUGACGCUGAGGCACGAAGGUCAGGGGAGCAAACGGG